CGGACUGGUGAGUAACGCGUGAGGAACCUGCCUUUCGGAGGGGGACAACAGUUGGAAACGGCUGCUAAUACCGCAUGACGUAUCGGGAUCGCAUGGUCUUGAUACCAAAGAUUUUAUCGCCGAAAGAUGGCCUCGCGUCUGAUUAGCUAGUUGGUGGGGUAACGGCCUACCAAGGCGACGAUCAGUAGCCGGACUGAGAGGUUGGCCGGCCACAUUGGGACUGAGAUACGGCCCAGACUCCUACGGAAGGCAGCAG
rnacentral:rRNA from 1 species